GGGAUCACAAGUAGGACUUCGGUCCGAAUACAGAUCUC
rnacentral:misc_RNA from 1 species